UACCUGCAGCUCGAGUGGUAACCGCUAUUAUUGGGCCUAAAGCGUCCGUAGCCGGUUUGGUAAAUAUCUGGGUAAAUCGUGAGGCUUAACUUCACGAAUUUCGGAUAGACUGCCAGACUUGGGAUCGGGGGAGGUCAGAGGUACUCCAGGGGUAGCGGUGAAAUGUUGUAAUCCUUGGAGGACCACCGGUAGCGAAGGCGUCUGACUAGAACGAGUCCGACGGUGAGGGACGAAGCCCUGGGGCGCAAACCGGAUUAGGAUACCCGGGUAGUCCAGGGUGUAAACGAUGUGGGCUUUGUAUUGGAGGUCCCACGUGGGCGUCCAGUGCAGAAGAGAAGUUGUUAAGCCCACGCCUGGGAAGUACGGUGCAAGGCUGAGACUUAAAAGGAAUUGGCGGGGGAGCACAGCAACGGGAGAGCGUGCGGUUU
rnacentral:rRNA from 1 species